rnacentral:rRNA from 1 species
AUACGGAGGGUGCAAGCGUUAUACGGAAUCAUUGGGUUUAAAGGGUCCGUAGGCGGGCCAAUAAGUCAGGGGUGAAAUACCACAGCUUAACUGUGGAACUGCCCUUGAUACUGUUGGUCUUGAGUUACAGUGAAGUGGUUAGAAUGUGUAGUGUAGCGGUGAAAUGCAUAGAGAUUACACAGAAUACCGAUUGCGAAGGCAGAUCACUAACUGUAUACUGACGCUAAUGGACGAAAGCGUGGGGAGCGAACAGGAUUAGAAACCCUAGUAGUCC